rnacentral:rRNA from 2 species
UGAGUACGGCGGAACACGUGAAAUUCCGUCGGAAUCCGGGAGGACCAUCUCCCAAGGCUAAAUACUCCCUAGUGACCGAUAGUGAACCAGUACCGUGAGGGAAAGGUGAAAAGCACCCCGGAAGGGGAGUGAAACAGUUCCUGAAACCGUGUGCCUACAAGUAGUUAGAGCCCGUUAAUGGGUGAUAGCGUGCCUUUUGUAGAAUGAACCGGCGAGUUACGAUUUGUUGCAAGGUUAAGCGGAAAAAGCGGAGCCGUAGCGAAAGCGAGUCUGAAUAGGGCGCAUAAGUAACAGGUCGUAGACCCGAAACCAGGUGAUCUACCCAUGUCCAGGAUGAAGGUAAGGUAAUACUUACUGGAGGUCCGAACCCACGCACGUUGAAAAGUGCGGGGAUGAGGUGUGGGUAGCGGAGAAAUUCCAAUCGAACUUGGAGAUAGCUGGUUCUCUCCGAAAUAGCUUUAGGGCUAGCCUCGAGGUAAAGAGUCAUGGAGGUAGAGCACUGUUUGGACUAGGGGCCCUUCUCGGGUUACCGAAUUCAGAUAAACUCCGAAUGCCAUGUACUUAUACUCGGGAGUCAGACUGCGAGUGAUAAGAUCCGUAGUCGAAAGGGAAACAGCCCAGACCACCAGUUAAGGUCCCCAAAUAUAUGUUAAGUGGAAAAGGAUGUGGGGUUGCUUAGACAACCAGGAUGUUGGCUUAGAAGCAGCCACCAUUGAAAGAGUGCGUAAUAGCUCACUGGUCGAGUGACCCCGCGCCGAAAAUGUACCGGGGCUAAACAUAUUACCGAAACUGUGGAUGAACCUCUUUAGAGGUUCGUGGUAGGAGAGCGUUCUAAGGGCGGUGAAGUCAGACCGGAAGGACUGGUGGAGCGCUUAGAAGUGAGAAUGCCGGUAUGAGUAGCGAAAGAAGGGUGAGAAUCCCUUCCACCGAAUAUCUAAGGUUUCCUGAGGAAGGCUCGUCCGCUCAGGGUUAGUCGGGACCUAAGCCGAGGCCGAUAGGCGUAGGCGAUGGACAACAGGUAGAGAUUCCUGUACCAGUGCUAAUUGUUUAACCGAUGGGGUGACACAGAAGGAUAGGGAAUCGCACGAAUGGAAAUGUGCGUCCAAGCAGUGAGUGUGA